GAGCCCAAGGCAGACGCUUAACAACAGCGCUACCCAGGUCACCAAUAGCUUACAGACUCCCUUGGUAAUUUCUCCAUGUCACAGUGUUGAAUGCAAGAUGGAUGAACAUUAAGGCACUGCUGCAUUAUUAAGUAUAAAUGUAUUAUGUUCAAGGACCAAUUUUCCUACCCCUGUGCAAAAUAAAGUAGGCAAAUGGAGCCAAGUUCAUUGCCAGCACAAUGGAGCAGCUGCAUGGUGACUGCAGACAUCCCUGGAUACAUCACCUGGGGACUACCAGCCAUUGGUACAAUCAAGAAUAAAUCUUCCAAAUUUUUGCAAGGAAACGAUGGCACAUCCCAUAUACAUGCUGCUAUCUACAUGCCUCUUUCUAGAAGGCACAUGUUUGAAGCCAAAUACAAUGACUCAACUCUGUUAAAAAGUAGUUACGUUUCAGCUCUUCCUGCAGAAACACUAGCCAAGGACUGAAGGGCUUUUUGUGUAUUUAGGAACGAUUUUAUGAAUAGUAAGCAAUCAUAGUUUUAGAACUCUGAAGACUUAAGUGGCAGAUGCAUUGGGCAGGUGAGAAGCACACAGGCACAGCCAUCCUCCCCCAUGUUGCUUAGCCGAAACCUAGUUGCUCAGGGAAGCUUUCAGUGGAUUAGAGUACGUGUUAGGAAAAAUUGACCCUAGAUCUGCGAUUCAGCUUUGCCUUUUAUUAUGUUUGAAAUCAUCGUAUUUCCUAGAAGAGACAUCCUAGAGGAGAACUUAAAAUAGAAUUCAAACGGGGCGCCUGGGUGGCAUAGCGGUUAAGCGUCUGCCUUCGGCUCAGGGCGUGAUCCCUGCGUUCUGGG